GCCGGGCGCGGUGGCGCACGCCUGUAGUCCCAGCUAAUCGGGAGGCUGAGACAGGAGGAUUACUUAAGUCCAGGAGUUCUGGGCUGUAGUGUGCUAUGCCUAUCGGGUGUCCGCACUAAGUUCGGCAUCAAUAUGGUGACCUCCCGGGAGCCGGGGAACACCAGGUUGCCUAAGGAGGGGUGAAUCACCCAGGCCGGAAACGGAGCAGGUCAAGACUCCUGUGCUGAUCAGUAGUGGGAUCGCGCCUGUGAAUAGCCACUGCACUCCAGCCUGGGCAACAUAGCAAAACCCCGUCUCU
rnacentral:SRP_RNA from 1 species